CGUAGGUGGCGAACGUUAUCCGGAAUUAUUGGGCGUAAAGGGUGCGUAGAUGGCAUGAUAAGUUAUUAGUGGGAAAUCGAGGCUCAACCUCGUGGAAGCUAGUAAUACUGUUUUGCUUGAGUGCAGAAGAGGUUAACGGAACUCCAUGUGGAGCGGUAAAAUGCGUAGAUAUAUGGAAGAACAUCAAUAACGGCGAAGGCAGUUAACUAUUCUGUUACUGACAUUGAGGCACGAAAGCGUGGGGAGCAAAACGGAUUAGAUACCCGUGUAGUCCACGCCCUAAACGAUGAGUACUAGAUAUUGGGAACUUGCUUCACAGUGUCGCUAGGUAACCCGGUAAGUACUCCGCCUGGGUAGUACGGUCGCAAGGCUG
rnacentral:rRNA from 1 species